CUCCUCCUACUCCUCCUUCCCCUCAUUCCCCUCUUUCUCUGAAAUGUGGCUGUGUAUUAAAUACAUAUAUAUAUACAUGUAUUUAUAUAUGUAUUUAUAUAUACGCGUGUAUACUAACCUCGACGAAGGACACAAAUUGCUCACUGGACAAGUACUACCUACUUACUAGCUAUAACGUAAUAGUAUCAGUAGAGAAGGUCGGCUCGAGUCAGACGUGAUUCGAGAUUCAGUGAAGACCAUGAAAGAACUUAAUUUUUAUUCGGUGAAGAAGAAGAAGAAGAAGAAGAGGAAGAAGAUGGAGAGGAAACGCGAUAAAGAAAUACUUUUUCUUAUUAGUUUCAUCGAAAUAUCCUAAAGAAGAAGAAGAAGAAGAGAAGAAAAAGAGAAGAAAAAAGUUAGAUGAAUUUUCUUACGUAGAAAGAAGCCUUUCUCUUUCUUUAAAAUAUCACAAAGAAAAUAAGAUAGGAGUAAGAUAAAAAUAUGGUGUGUGUGUGUGUGAGGAUAAAGGUGGGUGGGAGGGUUAUAGGGUAGAAUAAAAAAAGCAAUGCUGUGAAAGGAAAUAAGAAUCGAGCGAGUGUAACGGUGAUGUGUAGUGGUAGUGUCAUAGAGAGUGAGAGCAAGAGAAAUAAAGAAAGAAAGAAAGAAAAAGGUAUCGAUAUAAAGAGAAGAAGAAGAAGAAGAAGAAGAAGAAAGAAGAGGUAGAGAAAAAAAAGAAGAAAAAUAAGCAAAAGAAGUAGAAACGGGAGGGGGUUGAUAUCGGAGGGGGUGAAGCUAGGGUCGGUUUUCCAUCAGCGUGGAAAGGAGCUAUGAUGGCCACCACCCUCGCUUGCUUGCUCGCUUUUGAAGGUCAAGGUUUCACGCCCCUCUUCCAUCGGAGUUACGUGCUAGCGAGUAGGGGUUUGUUAGAGGGGAAGAGGGUGGUAGUAGAAGGGGCUCGAGGGCGUAUCGAGCAGAGUAGUAGUGCUGGUAACAGCAGCAGCAUCACCACCAGAAGCAUCAGCAGUAGUGGUAGUACCACCAGAGCUAGCAGCAGUAGCACCAGAAGAAGAAGCACCACCAGCAGCAGUACCAGUAGCACGAGCAACAACAACAGCAGCAGCAGAAAGAUGUUCGUAUUAGUGGUGUUGGUUGGUGGUGGUUCGUGGGUGGUUGGUCGUGGUUCGACCGAUAGAAAGAGAGAGAGAGAGAAGGUUGAGAGGGGUAGAAAGUUACGUAGGUGGCGCCGGAGGGGUGCCGAGAGCCCGGUACCCAGUAUUUAUAGCGCUUGCAAACCGAUCGAUAACGAAUAGCGACACUGCGCAGUUGAGAACCCUCGUACCAAAGUCACCCUCCCUUUCUAUUCUAUUCCUCAACCAGCUUUAACUCACCCCUUUAGAUCUUCUUCCUCUUUCUCUUUCUUAUCCUUAUUCUUCUUCUUCUUCUUUGUACUCCUUUCGGAUUUAUUUUAUUCUUAUAGUUUAGUCGUGUUUUCUUUUUUUUUUUUUUUGAUAAUAUUUGUAUUCGUUCGAUUAUUUUGGGAGCUAAGCUGAGAACAACAACGUUUAUUUUGGCCGUAAAUAUUUGUCGUUCCGCUCGAGCAAGCGAGACAGCCGAGAUGUAUCAUUGGGAUCGUCGAGGGUCCGAAGGUCGACAUAUCGAUUUGCUUGAAAUUUGAAGUACGAGGGUUUAACCCUUGCGGCGGGCCUGUGAUCGAGUGUAUACACGAUGAAUGGGAUAUGGUAGAAAGGAGGUGGAGAGAGAAAGAGAAAGAGAGAGAGAGAGAGAGAGAGAGAGGAAGAAAAAUGGAGGAUAACGAGGAAAGAGUGGUGCGGGCAAUCGACCGACCGAUGGAAAAAUUUCGACGCGGUGGAAAAAGACACGCCAUAUACCAUAUAAGUUUAUAUAUGUAUAUACACUUGGACAGACCACUACAAGGAUGCUAGCGUGA